rnacentral:rRNA from 1 species
UACGUAGGGGGCUAGCGUUGUCCGGAAUCAUUGGGCGUAAAGAGCGCGUAGGCGGCCAGAUAAGUCCGGUGUGAAAGUCACAGGCUCAACCUGUGAAUGCCGCUGGAAACUGUCUGGCUAGAGUCCGGAAGGGGCGAGUGGAAUUCCCGGUGUAGCGGUGAAAUGCGCAGAUAUCAGGAGGAACACCAAUGGCGAAGGCAGUCUCCUGGCAAGUUACUGACGCUCAGGUGCGAAAGCUAGGGGAGCGAACGGG